CUGAGUUUUCAACUCUCCAAACCAUGUGAACUUACCACUGUUGCCUCGGUGGUUUGGGUCUUCGGGCCUGACCACCGGCGGACCUACUAAACUCUUGUUAAUUUUGGCAUUCUGAAUCAUAACUAAGAAAUAAGUUAA
rnacentral:misc_RNA from 1 species